rnacentral:rRNA from 1 species
UACGUAGGGGGGCAAGCGUUGUCCGGAUUCAUUGGGCGUAAAGAGCGUGUAGGCGGCCAGGUAGGUCGGUUGUGAAAACUGGAGGCUCAACCUUCAGAGGUCGACCGAAACCAUCUGGCUAGAGUCCGGGAGAGGGGAGUGGAAUUCCUGGUGUAGCGGUGAAAUGCGCAGAUAUCAGGAAGAACACCCGUGGCGAAAGCGGCUCUCUGGAACGGUACUGACGCUGAGACGCGAAAGCGUGGGGAGCGAACAGG